UACGGAGGGAGCUAGCGUUGUUCGGAAUUACUGGGCGUAAAGCGCGCGUAGGCGGCUUUGUAAGUUAGAGGUGAAAGCCCGGGGCUCAACCCCGGAACUGCCUUUAAAACUGCAUCGCUUGAAUCCGGGAGAGGUGAGUGGAAUUCCGAGUGUAGAGGUGAAAUUCGUAGAUAUUCGGAAGAACACCAGUGGCGAAGGCGGCUUACUGGUCCGGUUCUGACGCUGAGGCGCGAAAGCGUGGGGAGCAAACAGG
rnacentral:rRNA from 1 species